UGGCUUGGGUCUCCUUUCUGCCUUUGUAACGUCAUUGGUUAUUAACUAUGUAGGGCUUAUUCAAAUCCAUGCUUACAUUAUAGCUACUUCCUGUGCUCCCAACACGGAAGGAUGCAUGUUUUAGGGGCCGAACUUGGUCUUGUCAUGAGAAGCCAUUUGGGAUGACCAACUGGUCCUGGGAAUCCUGGUUCUGACUCAUUUCUACACUGCUCUCAGAGAUGAAAAUGUGUUUAGACACAGAAAAUAGGCCAUAAAUCUAUAACAUUCAUAGCAUAUAAAUGUUCUUGAGAUGUGGCAUCAUCUCAAGUAGGGUAGUGGGCCUUUAAUGGUGAAAUGGCAAGGAACUUCCACAU
rnacentral:lncRNA from 1 species